GAGUUUGAUCAUGGCUCAGAUUGAACGCUGGCGGCAUGCCUUACACAUGCAAGUCGAACGGCAGCAUGAUCUAGCUUGCUAGAUUGAUGGCGAGUGGCGAACGGGUGAGUAAUACAUCGGAACGUGCCCUGUAGUGGGGGAUAACUAGUCGAAAGAUUAGCUAAUACCGCAUACGACCUGAGGGUGAAAGUGGGGGACCGCAAGGCCUCAUGCUAUAGGAGCGGCCGAUGUCUGAUUAGCUAGUUGGUGGGGUAAAGGCCCACCAAGGCGACGAUCAGUAGCUGGUCUGAG
rnacentral:rRNA from 1 species